rnacentral:rRNA from 1 species
UACAGAGGCCUCGAGCGUUAAUCGGAAUCACUGGGCUUAAAGGGUGCGUAGGCGGCGCUGCAAGUGCCUUGUGAAAUCCCAUCGCUUAACGAUGGAACUGCUCGGUAGACUGCAGUGCUUGAGGUUGGUAGGGGCUGCCGGAACUCUAGGUGGAGCGGUGAAAUGCGUAGAUAUCUAGAAGAACGCCCAAGGCGAAGGCAGGCAGCUGGGCCAAUUCUGACGCUGAGGCACGAAAGCGUGGGGAGCAAACGGGG